GCCUACGACUGCAGCCCCAACAAGAACAGGUACCUGAACGUGGUCCUGAACACCCUCAAGAGACUGAAGGGCCUGACCCCCAGCUCCAUGCCCGGCCUCAGCAGGGCCGCCCUGUACAGCCGCCUCCAGGAGUUCCUGCUCACCCAGGACCAGCUCAAGGAGAACGGCUACCCCUUCCCGCACCCCGAGCGGCCCGGAGGCGCCGUCCUCUUCACUGGCCAGGGGAAGGGGCCCGGCGACUCCUCCUGCAGGGUCUGCUGCCGUUGUGGCACCGAGUACCUGGUGUCCUCCUCGGGCCGCUGUGUACGCGACCAGUUGUGUUAUUAUCACUGGGGGCGGGUCCGCUCGAGCCAGGUGGCUGGAGGCCGGGUUAGCCAGUACACCUGCUGUGCAGCUGCUCCUGGCUCUGUGGGCUGCCAGGUGGCAAAGCAGCACGUGCGGGACGGCCGCAAGGAGAGCCUCGAUGGCUUCGUGGAGACCUUCAAGAAAGAGUUGUCCAGAGACGCUUAUCCAGGAAUCUACGCCUUGGACUGUGAGAUGUGCUACACCACGCAUGGCCUAGAGCUGACCCGCGUCACCGUGGUGGACGCCGACAUGCGAGUGGUGUACGACACCUUCGUCAAGCCCGACAACGAGAUCGUGGACUACAACACCAGGUUUUCCGGAGUCACCGAGGCCGACGUCGCCAAGACGAGCAUCACGUUGCCCCAAGUCCAAGCCAUCCUGCUGAGCUUUUUCAGCGCCCAAACCAUCCUCAUCGGGCACAGCCUGGAGAGCGACCUGCUGGCCCUGAAGCUCAUCCACAGCACCGUGGUGGACACGGCCGUGCUCUUCCCGCACUACCUGGGUUUCCCCUACAAGCGCUCCCUCAGGAAUCUCGCGGCCGACUACCUGGCACAGAUCAUCCAGGACAGCCAGGACGGCCACAACUCCAGCGAGGACGCAAACGCCUGCCUGCAGCUGGUGAUGUGGAAGGUCCGACAGCGCGCCCAGAUCCAGCCACGCCACCGGUCCGCCUCUCCCGCCGCCCUGGCCUGUCCUUAGCCCCAGGCCUCUUCCAAAACCGCCAUCAGUCCCG